UUAUGGCCAUAUCACAUUGAAACAUUGGUUCCCGUAUGAUCACCAAAGUUAAGCAACAUUGAGCCUGGUCAGUACCUAGAUGAGUGACCACUUAGGAAUAUCAGGAGAUGUAAG